AUACCUUUCUCGGCCUUUUGGCUAAGAUCAAGUGUAGUAUCUGUUCUUAUCAGUUUAAUAUCUGAUAUGUGGGCUCAUGUGUCCACACGAUAUUAAAUUAAUUUUUUCUUGGGGGAGGGUCCACAACAGUGGCUUGCCACUGGGCCCCAGGCGUCGCUCGUGUGUAGCACGAGCUAGGCGCACCCCAA